rnacentral:rRNA from 1 species
UACGUAGGGCGCAAGCGUUGUCCGGAAUUAUUGGGCGUAAAGAGCUCGUAGGCGGUUUGUCGCGUCUGCUGUGAAAACCUAAGGCUCAACCUUGGGCUUGCAGUGGGUACGGGCAGACUAGAGUGCGGUAGGGGUGACUGGAAUUCCUGGUGUAGCGGUGGAAUGCGCAGAUAUCAGGAGGAACACCGAUGGCGAAGGCGGGUCUCUGGGCCACUACUGACGCUGAGAAGCGAAAGCAUGGGGAGCGAACAGG